rnacentral:lncRNA from 1 species
AUAUCGUUCUAUUGCUACGGCUAAAACUAAAUUCAUCGCUUCAACUACAUAAAAUUCAGUUUAUCUUUCUCGUUUUUGCAGGUAUCGUUCUACCGCUACAGCUAAAACUAAAUUCAUCGCUUCGACUGGAUAAAAUUCAGUUUCUCUUUCUCUUUUUUAAUUUACAGGUAUCGUUAUAUCGUUACAACUAAAACUAAAUACAUCGUUUCAGAUGGAUAAAAUUCAGUUUCUAUUUCUCUUUUUUGUAGGUUUAGUUCCAACGCUUCGGCUGGAAUAUUUGAUCCAUCGCUUCGGUUGGAUCACUUCUGUCGCUUAUGCUGGAUCACAUCCGUCAUUUCAGACGGAUGAAAACAUAUGUCCUUUCGGCUGGAUCAAAACAUCUUUCGCUUCGGCCAGAUCAAAACAUCUCAUUGCUUUGGCUGAGAUAGUCAAUCAUACUAGUUCCAACUUCCAUCACUUGCUUAGGUUGGGGAGGAAUACUUAUGGUACGACACAUGCCCAUCAAGGGGAGUACUGAUGAUACAAACCGUACACUUGUCAUCACCAUCAACCAAAAUUAGGGUUUUGUUCGUUUUAUGUUGGAAUCCCAGAAGCUCCCACGAAGCACCGAUCUAAGGUCUUUACGAUGUCCUGAAGCCCUCUUGUAGAAGUCGUCAACUUCCCAGAAGGACUCACCGACUUCAUCAAGUUGCCAGGUGCCCAUCGCGUGGCUUGGUUUUCAGUCCUUCAUACUAUGUGGCCUAGGUCUUGGACUUAGCUAAGGUAUCAUCAUAUCGUAUGAUGGAUUUCUGAUGGUGAAAUUCAAUCGCUUAACCUAUUUUGGUCAAGUAACAUAUAUAAAUCCGCCACCACAAUUACUUCAUUGAAAAUAUUCCUACCGUCAAAAUCCGCCUCACAAACUGCAAUGAUCGAUAAACUAAACUCCCCAUCUCUGACACCAUACCUCUUCCUUGCUUCAAUGGUGGUUAAUUAUUGGAAUAUAACAGUGGACACUCGUCAAUCUACCAUUAAAUGAUAAACGUAUCAAUACUAUCUUUCCCGUUAUACAAUGUCUAUUUUUUGGGUCGCGUCAUUAACUUAUAUGAAGAUACUUGAUUUUUAAAAAAGUUGUAGUCAAACUAAUUAUAGCUAGGUAUUAAUUUUUUUAAAGUCAAUUAAAGCAUCAUAAUUAAUUAAGAAAGAUAUUAUUAAUUUGGUCAAACAAAAACAAGUGCACAAUUGAAUUGAUAUCAUUUUAAUCAAUUCAUUAAUUAUUCUCUUAUUGCAACCAUGGUAUGUUGUCUAAUUAAAUUAAAAAAAUUCUUUAGUCCAAAUUAAAUUGAUUCUUGAACUUUCAUUGAUGCCAUUAAUUAUAUUACCUUGCGCACUUAUUGUAUUAACUACUUAACUAACAUUUAACUAAUUCAGUACUAUUGCAUGCAUGAACCUUGAUAUAUAUAUAAAUAAUUAAUUACACAUGAAACUAGCUUAUUCGAUCGAUCAUGAGCUAAUCCAUCUCUAAUUACUCUCCAGCUUGUUUCAAAAGAGAGAGAUCAGCUAGUAGAUCUCCAUGCAAUAUUGUACAUAGUAUAGCAAUUUGAAUCGUUGAUUUCUGGUGCAUGUGAUCCAACGAUUCAUAUAUAAAGAAGAAGAGUACUGCUAUGUAUAGAAGAAUGUUGACUUUGCCUUUAGAGGUCCACAAACAUUGACACAACAUGUACAAGUUGGGUGGAAAGUGGAAGGAAUCUAGUAUAGUAGGAGUGUAGGAGACAAGAAUCUAUGGACUAACCCUUCCCCCACCUCUAGGGGAUACUUACAGUCUUAUAUAAUGACCUACCUGGUUCAUAUUUUAGCCUUUAAUCCUUUAUAUAAAGAAAGAUUCCAAAUGCCAAGUUGGUUUAAAUAAAAAAAAUCAAUCAAUUGUUUCUUUCUGAUUAAAAAUCAUUAAUUAAAUCUCUCAUUAGAGUGACCAAUUGCAAUUAAUUAAUCACUCAUUAGGACCUGGUCUGGUCUGGUCUGGUGUGGUCUGGCUACUUUUGAUUUAUUUUGUGAAUAUUAAUCAUCAGGUGAUAUUCUUCCAAUUCAUAGCUUCUAUGUAAGAAGAAGAGAACAAAGUGGUUUGCUAGAUCGCAAUAUCAUGUUGGUUGCUUCACAAAAGAAGAAAAAGAAAGAUGCAUGUUCAUAGGGUAUGAUCAGUCAAAAAGAGACAUCCAUCAAUAUAAGGAAUUGCAUGCCUGUAUAAAUUAAGAUUAUAUAUAGGGCAAAAUUCAUGUGAGAAUUUAUUAUUUGAGAACUUAAUUUGACCCAUAUAUACUAGUUGAAAUUGAAAAUAAAUGAAUGGUUAGAAUCGAGGUUUUCUAAAGUUCUUGAAUAAAAGGAAACUGUCA